UACGGAGGGGGCUAGCGUUGUUCGGAAUUACUGGGCGUAAAGCGCACGUAGGUGGCUUUGUAAGUUAGAGGUGAAAGCCCAGGGCUCAACCCUGGAAUUGCCUUUAAGACUGCAUCGCUUGAACAUCGGAGAGGUAAGUGGAAUUCCGAGUGUAGAGGUGAAAUUCGUAGAUAUUCGGAAGAACACCAGUGGCGAAGGCGACUUACUGGACGAUUGUUGACGCUGAGGUGCGAAAGCGUGGGGAGCAAACAGG
rnacentral:rRNA from 1 species